rnacentral:rRNA from 1 species
UCGGGAAUUUUGGGCAAUGGGCGAAAGCCUGACCCAGCAACGCCGCGUGAGGGAUGAAGUAUUUCGGUAUGUAAACCUCGAAAGAAUGGGAAGAAUAAAUGACGGUACCAUUUAUAAGCUCCGGCUAACUACGUGCCAGCAGCCGCGGUAAUACGUAGGGAGCAAGCGUUGUUCGGAUUUACUGGGCGUAAAGGGCGCGUAGGCGGCGCGGUAAGUCACUUGUGAAAUCUCUGAGCUUAACUCAGAACUGCUAAGUGAUACUGCUGUGCUAGAGUGCGGAAGAGGAAACCGGAAUUCUUGGUGUAGCGGUGAAAUGCGUAGAUAGCAAGAGGAACACCUGAGGCGAAGGCGGGUUGCUGGGCCGACACUGACGCUGAUGCGCGAAAGCCAGGGGAGCAAACG